rnacentral:rRNA from 1 species
ACGAAGGGGGCUAGCGUUGUUCGGAAUUACUGGGCGUAAAGCGCACGUAGGCGGCCUUUCAAGUCAGAUGUGAAAGCCCCGAGCUUAACUCGGGAAAUGCAUUUGAUACUGUUGGGCUAGAGACCGGGAGAGGAUAGCGGAAUUCCCAGUGUAGAGGUGAAAUUCGUAGAUAUUGGGAGGAACACCAGUGGCGAAGGCGGCGAUCUGGGUCGAUACUGACGCUGAGGUGCGAAAGCGUGGGGAGCAAACAGGA